rnacentral:rRNA from 1 species
GAUGAACGCUGGCGGCGUGCCUAACACAUGCAAGUCGAACGGGUGUGGUAUCAGGGAAAAGGGGUUUACUUCUUUGACCAAGAUAACACACUAGUGGCGGACGGGUGAGUAACGCGUGGAUAACCUGCCUUAUACAGGGGGAUAACAGGGAGAAAUUCUUGCUAAUACCCCAUAGGUAUGUCUGACGCAUGUUGGACAUAUUAAAGCUUUGGGCGGUAUAAGAUGGGUCCGCGUCUGAUUAGCUAGUUGGUGGGGUAAAGGCCCACCAAGGCGACGAUCAGUAGCCGGCUUGAGAGAGUGGACGGCCACAUUGGGACUGAGACACGGCCCAAACUCCUACGGGAGGCAGCAGUGGGGAAUAUUGCACAAUGGGGGAAACCCUGAUGCAGCGACGCCGCGUGAAGGAAGAAGGUCUUCGGAUCGUAAACUUCUAUCAGCAGGGAAGAAGGAAGUGACAGUACCUGAGUAAGAAGCCCCGGCUAACUACGUG